GGGCAAGUUAGUUGCUCCAAAAACAAGAUAAAAUGAUUGAGUUCUUUUCUCAAGCGGGAGUCGGAGUUUAUCUGCUCUGAGAAAUAUUGAUGUUAAAGAGGAAACUAACUUUCUGAACCAUUAAAUGUAAUAUCAUUUAUCUCACCAAAUCCCAAGAUAGAGCCCCAGCAGCUACUAUUAAUGAGUGUCUGGAAUAUGUUCCUGGCAUUUCACCUACCCUCUCUCCAAUCCUUCCAAGAAACUCACAAAGCAGGGCUUUUUCUUGAACUUCUCUUCCUCACAACAGUUAAAUCAUCCAUUUAAAGAUGUCAAACAACCUCCGUGUUCUAAGCCAGACCAUCAACUUAACUUGUAAAACUACCAACUGUUGCUACACACAGGCAAAGGAAUUAAACUUGGUAGCUGAUCAUUUGAUUACAUCUAUCAGUCUACUGGAGGGCUUCAACGCAGAGUAGGUGGAAUUCAUGGUUCAAAUCAGAGUAUUAAUGGGAUCUGUUUGCACACCAAUACCUGAUCUCCUUGGCACAAAUACAGAGCUGAUUCUUAAAGCAUGUCCCCACAAUAAAGCUUUUCUUAAU
rnacentral:lncRNA from 10 species